GGGUACGGAGUGGUACUACACGGGACAACGUUCCCGCUGCUCAGCCCUCUGACCUGCAGGUCCGUCUCGCCCUUGCAAGGCGAAGGACGGGGGUUCGAGUCCCUCAGCGCCCACCA
rnacentral:tRNA from 1 species